rnacentral:rRNA from 1 species
GACGAACGCUGGCGGCGUGCUUAACACAUGCAAGUCGAACGGAAAGGCCCUGCUUGCAGGGUACUCGAGUGGCGAACGGGUGAGUAACACGUGGGUGCUCUGCCCUGCACUUCGGGAUAAGCCUGGGAAACUGGGUCUAAUACCGGAUAGGAGCCAUUUCUAGUGUGAUGGUUGGAAAGUUUUUUCGGGGUAGGAUGAGCUCGCGGCCUAUCAGCUUGUUGGUGGGGUAAUGGCCUACCAAGGCGGCGACGGGUAGCCGGCCUGAGAGGGUGGACGGCCACCUAGGGUCCGAGGGGCGGCCCAGACUCCGACGGGAGGAAGAAGUGGGGAAUAUUGCUCAAGGGACGCCGGCCUGGUGAAGCGGCGCCGCGUGGGGGAUGGCGGCCUUGGGGGUGAAGACACCUUUCGCUAGGAACGAAGCUUGUUGUGACGGUACCUAGAUAAGAAGCACCGGCUAACUACGUG